rnacentral:rRNA from 1 species
UGGGGAAUCUUGCACAAUGGGCGAAAGCCUGAUGCAGCAACGCCGCGUGAGCGAAGAAGGCCUUUGGGUCGUAAAGCUCUGUCCUAAGGGAAGAAGGAAGUGACGGUACCUUAGGAGGAAGCCCCGGCUAACUACGUGCCAGCAGCCGCGGUAAUACGUAGGGGGCAAGCGUUAUCCGGAAUUAUUGGGCGUAAAGAGUACGUAGGCGGUUCUUUAAGCGCAGGGUUUAAGGCGAUAGCUUAACUAUCGUUCGCCCUGUGAACUGGGGGACUUGAGUAUCGGAGAGGAAAGCGGAAUUCCUAGUGUAGCGGUGAAAUGCGUAGAUAUUAGGAGGAACACCAGUGGCGAAGGCGGCUUUCUGGACGAAAACUGACGCUGAGGUACGAAAGCGUGGGGAGCAAACAGG